rnacentral:lncRNA from 1 species
CAGAUCCGGCGAGGCCGAGCGUCGCCGGCCCCCGGCGAGCUCGAGCUCGCCCAGCCAUGGCGACGCCUCGCCUCGCCUUGGCUGGGCGAGCCAGCCUCCUCCGCGCUACCGUCGCGCCGCCCCGAAGCCCGCAGCUCGACGCCGUCCCGAUCUCACCACGCCAUUCGCGACGCCGUCCGCCAGUCUUUGCCCGCGUCGCCUCGUGUCGAUCCCGAAGCCUCUAGUGCCGCGCCGCCGUCGCACCAUCCUCCAGAGCCCCUCACCAGAACCCUAGCCGAAGAUCUCCCCUCGAGCGAGGCUGAGCCUCGCCUUGGCUGGGCGAGCUCGGCCUCACCGGCGCGGGCGAGGCUCGGCCUCGCUGCUCGAGAAGGGGAUGAACGAAGGAGAAGGGGACGAACGAACGAACGAAGGAGAAGGGAGAGCACGAACGAACGGGCGAAAGUGUUCCGGUUUUGUUUUUUGUUCUUUUGAUUUUUGUUCCUUUUAGGCGUUGAAGAAGUGUUUCUGAAGUCCAGAAGUAAAAAAAUUUUGUUUCUUUUUUUUAUUCCUAUUUUUGUUCCGGAAAAAAAAAAACAAAAAGAGAACAUAAACACUUUUUAGGAACGUUUCCAUGCAGCCCCACAGCGUCUCUCCACUCACGCUCCAGCUCGCCACCAUCUUCCUCGUCACGUCGCGCGUGUAGAACAAACGCCUCCUUUGCCUCCUCGUCUUGCUCGUACAACCUCCUCACUCCCCCUCCCCCUCCUUCAUCUCCUCCAUCAGUGCCGCCUGAAGAACUCCAGCGUCCCCGACGCGCGUCGCAUCCUGUCGAUCGCCUCCUUCCUCUUUGGCCGGGUCCGCCGAGGUCGAUGAUUGGGAGGCUGAGAUUCUCGGAUCCGCCGCUCGAUUCGGAGCUGCCUGCCUUCGGAUGUCUCCUGCGGUCGGAUGACGAAAUUCUAGGGAUUUCGGUGAUCGCGGCGUCGACGAGGCCUUUGACGCCAGCUUUCGAGUCGUCGCCCGCUCCGUCGUAGCUUUCUGCUCGCCGGAGUCGGAGGCCAAAUCGGUGGUAGGCAUUGUUCCUCUCUCUCUUUCUCUCUCUACUGCUAUUCAAUUUUCAGUGUGAAUGUGUAAUAAGUUUGGAUUAUGAGUCGAAUGUUAUGGAGACAUUUGGAUUAUGAAUUGAGUGUUAUGGAGACAGUACAAUGUCAAUGCAUGAUAUGAGCAUCUUCUUUAUAGCUGAUUGAUUGAGAGAAGAGAAGUGAAGAAGACAAUGACAUCCAUUGCGAGGUUCCGCUUGACUUUAGAAUUAUGAGGUUCAUAAAAAAUGGAAGGAUAGCUUAUGGGCUACCCCGAACUGAGAAAAUGACAAUGCUAUUUAAUGAUGGCUGAUUCUUUGGGGGAUUGGGCGGCCAGUACACAAAGUUUUGCAAUUUAUGAAAACAAAAUCUGUUAGGACAGAGUUGAACAAUGAUAGAUGACUGGGCGAUUCGAUGUUGUCUUAGCCCUUGACUUCUUCGCAAUUACAGAAAUCUAUAUGCAGAGGAAUCUUUGGUUUGUAGCCCUCUCUGUUAUCACUUUAGAAGAGUUUCUGGACUUCUCAGGUAAACAGAACUAGUAUCUACGAGCUGGGUCCAUAUGAUCUAGUAAGCAUAUAGAAAUCUCAAGGUUCAUCUGAGUGAAAUAGACAAAAGGUUGGUGAAUCUUGGACGACCUUGAUUGAUGCCGAGGCUUGCUAUAGUUUUAUAAAUCAUUUAAAAUUGGACCCUUUUGAAACUAAGGUACUGAGCUCUGUGAGCAGCUAAUUUAACAAUUAUAUGCCUUCGGACAUGAGAAGCUGAACUGCGAAAAGAUGUGGUUCUGAUGUUACUGAUUAGAGGAAAAACCCUUCUCGCUUUCUUUCUGGAAUCCAUGCAUUAAAAGUCUUGUUAGGAUGGGGACUUACCUUUGCAUUGUUUCAUAGGGCGGGGCCAUCCUCUCAAGCGUUACUCGAGAUGUUGCAAUGCAUUAGAAAACUGAACUAGAGCUGUUGUAAAAGUAUGGUGGAGGCCUAGGGCUUCUGAUAAGUGCUUAAACAGACGAGAGCCCAGUCUCAUCACGUGCUUUGGGUACUCCAGCAUUUCUCUGCCAGAGAUGUUGCGAUGCAUUAGAAAACUGAACUAGAGCUGCUGUAAAAGUAUGGUCGGACGGAUUCCUAGAGAAUACGACAAAGGGUGUUGAUAUUUUGUCAACUCAGGUGCAAAAGUUUGCUACUGAUACCCACUAGAACGCGAAUAAAGUCAAUUGUCAAGGAACAUCCUUUUUUUUCCAACCAAAAAGAAUGGAACGACCACCUCCGAGGUUCCCAUCGAUGAAAAUGAUCAGUCAUUGAGGAUCGUCUUACUGAUUCGUAUCAUUGAUUGAGACUAGAUGCAAGAUUAUAUGCUAUGACAGGUAGUGGAAUUUAGGUGAUAAACUUUGUACAGAUUCAGCGGUAGCAAUUGCCUUCGCUGGUUGAACGAAGUAACUGGGCACUUUCAUUUCAUUAGUGUUCAACAUAUAUUCUGGCCGACUCAAUGGAAAAGUAAGUGAUUAACUCAAGUUUCGUACGCUUGCUAUCAUCAUACAGUGAAAACCAUUUACUCUGCACUUGUAUGAACUAUUGCGAUUUUUUUUUGCAAAGUGUCUUUUAUCAAUUCACUUUGUGAACUUUCUCGAGUUUCCCUUUUUGAAAGGUGAAAAACACGCAUCGGAAA